CCUACGGGUGGCUGCAGUGGGGAAUAUUGGACAAUGGGGGGAACCCUGAUCCAGCCAUGCCGCGUGUGUGAAGAAGGCCCUCGGGUUGUAAAGCACUUUCAGUGAGGAAGAACGCCUGGUGGUUAAUACCCAUCAGGAAAGACAUCACUCACAGAAGAAGCACCGGCUAACUCCGUGCCAGCAGCCGCGGUAAUACGGAGGGUGCGAGCGUUAAUCGGAAUUACUGGGCGUAAAGCGCGCGUAGGUGGCUUGAUAAGCCGGUUGUGAAAGCCCCGGGCUCAACCUGGGAACGGCAUCCGGAACUGUCAAGCUAGAGUGCAGGAGAGGAAGGUAGAAUUCCCGGUGUAGCGGUGAAAUGCGUAGAGAUCGGGAGGAAUACCAGUGGCGAAGGCGGCCUUCAGGACUGACACUGACACUGAGGUGCGAAAGCGUGGGUAGCAAACAGGAUUAGAUACCCUUGUAGUC
rnacentral:rRNA from 1 species